GCAAGUCGAACGAACUCUUCGGAGUGAGUGGCGCACGGGUGAGUAACGCGUAAGUUAUCUACCCUGGCAUCUGGAAUAACUCACCGAAAGGUGUGCUAAUACCGGAUACGUUGAUUUAUCAAGAAAGGUGGCCUCUAUUUAUAAGCUACCGUGCUGGGAUGAGCUUGCGUACCAUUAGCUAGUUGGUAGGGUAAUGGCCUACCAAGGCAACGAUGGUUAGCGGGUCUGAGAGGAUGAUC
rnacentral:rRNA from 1 species